UGAUGCGGUGCUAUACAUGCAGUCGAGCGGACAGAUGGGAGCUUGCUCCCUGAUGUUAGCGGCGGACGGGUGAGUAACACGUGGGUAACCUGCCUGUAAGACUGGGAUAACUCCGGGAAACCGGGGCUAAUACCGGAUGGUUGUCUGAACCGCAUGGUUCAGACAUAAAAGGUGGCUUCGGCUACCACUUACAGAUGGACCCGCGGCGCAUUAGCUAGUUGGUGAGGUAACGGCUCACCAAGGCGACGAUGCGUAGCCGACCUGAGAGGGUGAUCGGCCACACUGGGACUGAGACACGGCCCAGACUCCUACGGGAGGCAGCAGUAGGGAAUCUUCCGCAAUGGACGAAAGUCUGACGGAGCAACGCCGCGUGAGUGAUGAAGGUUUUCGGAUCGUAAAGCUCUGUUGUUAGGGAAGAACAAGUGCCGUUCAAAUAGGGCGGCACCUUGGCGGUACCUAACCAGAAAGCCACGGCUAACUACGUGCCAGCAGCCGCGGUAAUACGUAGGUGGCAAGCGUUGUCCGGAAUUAUUGGGCGUAAAGGGCUCGCAGGCGGUUUCUUAAGUCUGAUGUGAAAGCCCCCGGCUCAACCGGGGAGGGUCAUUGGAAACUGGGGAACUUGAGUGCAGAAGAGGAGAGUGGAAUUCCACGUGUAGCGGUGAAAUGCGUAGAGAUGUGGAGGAACACCAGUGGCGAAGGCGACUCUCUGGUCUGUAACUGACGCUGAGGAGCGAAAGCGUGGGGAGCGAACAGG
rnacentral:rRNA from 1 species